AACCGUAAAAGAGAAAUGAAGGGCCAUAGGCAAGGAAGACGGGGAACGAAAACGUGGAAGAGACGGCGGGGAAUUUUCAUUUCAAAACUCAGAUCAAAUUGCUAAAUUAACAGCGAGACAAACGAAAGCGAGCGCCCUUAGAGGAACUUGUUUUGACUUCCUUCCCUUUCCCGCUUUCGGGCCCCCCAGAAAUCACAGCAAGCCAGAACGUUUGAACGCGAUGGAGAACGCAGAGUUAAACAAAUUUUAAACUGGUUGUUGAACUGGAAUCCGCGAAGAAAGAGAAGAGGGCAGCAAGCGCAAGGGGGUCCCUCUAUCAAGAUCAAAACAAAACGGUGUGCCAACAACUAUUCGCGGCAACAGAGGGUAAACAGAACAGGGAAAAAUCAAAUAGAAUAAAAAAUGAAAUCGGAAUCUUGUCUAAAAAACAUCGGGGCGAUAAGUCGUCGGUCGAGUGGCAACAAAAUAAACACAAAGAGGAAAAACAAAAUACAGCAAUUAAAAGAUUAACAAAGCACGGCGGCAGCAACAACAACUAACCGAGAAAUCAAAAGGAACAGAACGAAAAUGUUUUUUAUGCGUUUUAAAUUUCCCAAGCGAUAGAACAGCAUACAAAAGUGCGUAAAAACACAAUUGACCUUCAAAAAUUUUUUGCGCAAAAUAUAAAAACAAUGUGAUUAUCGCCCCGAUCCGAUGCAAUAAAAACAUUACCUUUUUCA
rnacentral:sRNA from 1 species